rnacentral:lncRNA from 1 species
GGGCAUUCUACCUUCGCACAUGCCCAAGCUGUUGGGUGAUCUCUUCUACAUCAAGGAAUAGGAAGAAAAGCUGUAGUUUAAGUAUUGACUUCAUGGACAAAGAUCAAUAGUUGAUCAAAGAUCCAAAAGGCUGAGAUUCAUCUCGGAGAAGAUGGAUCAAGAAUGAGAAGAAAGAUUCAAGAUUAAUCUCAUUGGAUAUCUG